GACGAACGCUGGCGGCGUGCUUAACACAUGCAAGUCGAACGGAAAGGUCUCUUCGGAGAUACUCGAGUGGCGAACGGGUGAGUAACACGUGGGUGAUCUGCCCUGCACUUUGGGAUAAGCCUGGGAAACUGGGUCUAAUACCGAAUAGGACCGUGCUCUUCAUGGGGUGUGGUGGAAAGCUUUUGCGGUGUGGAUGGGCCCCGCGGCCUAUCAGCUUGUUGGUGGGGGUAAUGGCCUACCAAGGCGACGACGGGUAGCCGGCCUGAGAGGGUGACCGGCCACACUGGGACUGAGAUACGGCCCAGACUCCUACGGGGAGGCAGCAGUGGGGAAUAUUGCACAAUGGGCGCAAGCCUGAUGCAGCGACGCCGCGUGAGGGAUGACGGCCUUCGGUUGUAAACCUC
rnacentral:rRNA from 1 species